rnacentral:rRNA from 1 species
AGCAGCCGCGGUAAUUCCAGCUCCAAUAGCGUAUAUUAAAGUUGUUGCAGUUAAAAAGCUCGUAGUUGAAUUUCGGGAUCGAAUUGUCGGUCGUGCUUCGGUACGCACUGGCAUUAUCGGUUCCUACCUUCUGAAGAACCGCGAUGUCAUUAAUUUGGUGUCGUGGGGAAUCAGGACUGUUACUUUGAAAAAAUUAGAGUGUUUAAAGCAGGCUUACGCUUGAAUACAUUAGCAUGGAAUAAUGAAAUAGGACGUUUGAUUCUAUUUUGUUGGUUUCUAGGAUCGACGUAAUGAUUAAUAGGGAUAGUUGGGGGCAUUAGUAUUCAAUUGUCAGAGGUGAAAUUCUUGGAUUUAUUGAAGACUAACUACUGCGAAAGCAUUUGCCAAGGAUGUUUUCAUUAAUCAAGAACGAAAGUUAGGGGAUCGAAGACGAUCAGAUACCGUCGUAGUCUUAACCAUAAACUAUGCCGACUAGGGAUCGGAUGAUGUUAAUUUUAUAAUGACUC